rnacentral:rRNA from 1 species
GACGAACGCUGGCGGCGUGCUUAACACAUGCAAGUCGAACGGACAGACAGAGAGCUUGCUCUCUUGAAGUUAGUGGCGAACGGGUGAGUAACGCGUAAUCAACCUGCCCUUCAGAGGGGGAUAACAACGGGAAACCGUUGCUAAUACCGCGUACGAUUCAUGAACGGCAUCGUUUAUGAAUGAAAGGUGGCCUCUAUGUAUAAGCUAUCGCUGAAGGAGGGGAUUGCGUCUGAUUAGCUAGUUGGAGGGGUAACGGCCCACCAAGGCAAUGAUCAGUAGACGUGCUGAGAGGAUGAACGGCCACAUUGGGACUGAGACACGGCCCAAACUCCUACGGGAGGCAGCAGUGGGGAAUCUUCCGCAAUGGACGAAAGUCUGACGGAGCAACGCCGCGUGAGUGAUGAAGGUCUUCGGAUUGUAAAGCUCUGUUAAUCGGGACGAAAGAGUUCUGCGUGAAUAAUGCAGAAAAGUGACGGUACCGGAAUAGAAAGCCACGGCUAACUACGUGCCAGCCGCCGCAGUAA